GGCAGAGAAUGAAUCGAUUCUAAGCAGCUUUUUAUAUGCCAGCAUACUGUCACAUGAUUGUUUAGAGCGAGCAUUAGGAUUUAUUAUUGCUAACCGUCUCCAAAGUAAUACUUUUAUUAGAAACCCAAUUGAUGGAUAUAUUUUGUGAUGUAUUGGUUCAAAACUGAGGCAUCAAACGGGCAUUACGCAUGGAUCUACAGGCAUUUAAAGAAAGAGAUCCUUCAUGCUUGUCUUAUUGCUCCGCUCUUUUAUACCUAAAGGGUUACCAUUCUUUACAAACGCAUCGAGUAGCACAUGCAUUAUGGAACCAAGGACGCAAGGUGUUGGUUCUUGCACUACAAAG